rnacentral:rRNA from 1 species
GUGCUUAACACAUGCAAGUCGAACGGGGAAAAUUGAGCUUGCUUAAUUUUCCUAGUGGCGGACGGGUGAGUAACACGUGGGUAACCUGCCCUAUGAUGGGGGAUAACAGAAAGAAAUUUCUGCUAAUACCGCAUAAAACCUUUGGGUCGCAUGACCUAACGGUCAAAGAUUAAUUGUCAUAGGAUGGGCCCGCGGCGCAUUACCUAGUUGGUGAGGUAACGGCUCACCAAGGCGACGAUGCGUAGCCGACCUGAGAGGGUGAACGGCCACAUUGGGACUGAGACACGGCCCAGACUCCUACGGGAGGCAGCAGUGGGGAAUAUUGCACAAUGGGGGAAACCCUGAUGCAGCAACGCCGCGUGAGCGAUGAAGGCCUUCGGGUUGUAAAGCUCUGUCUUCAGGGACGAUAAUGACGGUACCUGAGGAGGAAGCCACGGCUAACUACGUGCCAGCAGCCGCGGUAAUACGUAGGUGGCAAGCGUUGUCCGGAAUUAUUGGGCGUAAAGGAUGCGUAGGCGGUCCUUUAAGUGGGAUGUGAAAUCCCUGGGCUUAACCCAGGAAUAGCAUUCCAAACUGGAGGACUAGAGUGCAGGGAAAGGGAAAGUGGAAUUCCC